GACGAACGCUGGCGGCGUGCCUAAUACAUGCAAGUCGAGCGGACAGAUGGGAGCUUGCUCCCUGAAGUCAGCGGCGGACGGGUGAGUAACACGUGGGCAACCUGCCUGUAAGACUGGGAUAACUUCGGGAAACCGGGGCUAAUACCGGAUACGUUCUUUUCUCGCAUGAGAGAAGAUGGAAAGAUGGUUUCGGCUAUCACUUACAGAUGGGCCCGCGGCGCAUUAGCUAGUUGGUGAGGUAAUGGCUCACCAAGGCGACGAUGCGUAGCCGACCUGAGAGGGUGCUCGGCCACACUGGGACUGAGACACGGCCCAGACUCCUACGGGAGGCAGCAGUAGGGAAUCUUCCGCAAUGGACGAAAGUCUGACGGAGCAACGCCGCGUGAACGAUGAAGGCCUUCGGGUCGUAAAGUUCUGUUGUUAGGGAAGAACAAGUACCAGAGUAACUGCUGGUACCUUGACGGUACCUAACCAGAAAGCCACGGCUAACUACGUGCCAGCCGCCGCCGUAACAC
rnacentral:rRNA from 1 species